rnacentral:rRNA from 1 species
UUGGUAAGGUAACGGCUUACCAAGGCGACGAUGUCUAGGGGGUUUGAGAGGAUGAUCCCCCACACUGGUACUGAGACACGGACCAGACUCCUACGGGAGGCAGCAGUGAGGAAUAUUGGGCAAUGGGCGCAAGCCUGACCCAGCCAUGCCGCGUGCAGGAUGAAGGUCCUAUGGAUCGUAAACUGCUUUUGUAUGGGAAGAACUUCCCGCAUUCGUGCGGGAUUGACGGUACUAUACGAAUAAGGACCGGCUAACUCCGUGCCAGCAGCCGCGGUAAUACGGAGGGUCCAAGCGUUAUCCGGAUUCACUGGGUUUAAAGGGUGCGUAGGUGGAACGAUAAGUCGAUGGUGAAAGCCUACAGCUUAACUGUAGAAUUGCCAUUGAUACUGUUGUUCUUGAGUAUAGUCGGGGGAAGUGGAAUGCGUAAUGUAGCGGUGAAAUGCAUAGAUAUUACGCAGAACACCGAUCGCGAAAGCAGCUUCCUAGGCUAUUACUGACACUGAGGCACGAAAGCGUGGGGAGCGAACAGGAUUAGAUACCCUGGUAGUCCACGCCGUAAACGAUGCUCACUCGCUGUUGGCGAUAUAUUGUCAGCAGUUAAGCUAAAGCAUUAAGUGAGCCACCUGGGAAGUACGUCCGCAAGGAUGAAACUCAAAGGAAUUGACGGGGGCCCGCACAACCGGUGGAACAUGUGGUUCAAUUCGAUGAUACGCGAGGAACCUUACCUGGGCUUAAAUGUAGUUUGACUUCCGCCGAAAGGCGGUUUUCCUUCGGGACAAAUUACAAGGUGCUGCACGGCUGUCGUCAGCUCGUGCCGUGAGGUAUCGGGUUAAGUCCCUUAACGAGCGCAACCCCUAUUGUUAGUUACCAACAGGUUAAGCUGGGGACUCUAGCAACACUGCCAGCGUAAGCUGGAGGAAGGUGGGGAUGACGUCAAGUCAGCAUGGCCCUUAUGUCCAGGGCUACACACGUGUUACAAUGGCCGAUACAAAGGGCAGCCA